UACGUAGGGUGCGAGCGUUGUCCGGAUUUAUUGGGCGUAAAGAGUGUGUAGGCGGUGUUCUAAGUUUGUCGUGAAAUCUCCCGGCUUAACUGGGAGGGUGCGGCGAAAACUGGAAUGCUAGAGGAUGGGAGAGGUAAGCGGAAUUCCUGGUGUAGCGGUGAAAUGCGUAGAUAUCAGGAGGAACACCUGUGGUGUAGACAGCUUACUGGACCAUUUCUGACGCUGAGACACGAAAGCGUGGGUAGCAAACAGG
rnacentral:rRNA from 1 species